rnacentral:misc_RNA from 1 species
GAUGAAGAACGCGGCGAAAUGCGAUAAGUAGUGUGAAUUGCAGAAUUCAGUGAAUCAUCGAAUCUUUGAACGCACAUUGCGCCCCUUGGUAUUCCAUGGGGCAUGCCUGUUCGAGCGUCAUUUGUACCUUCAAGCUCUGCUUGGUGUUGGGUGUUUGUCUCGCCUCUGCGUGUAGACUCGCCUCAAAACAAUUGGCAGCCGGCGUAUUGAUUUCAGAGCGCAGUACAUCUCGCGCUUUGCACUCAUAACGACGACGUCCAAAAGUACAUUUUUACACUCUUGACCUCGGAUCAGGUAGGGAUACCCGCUGAACUUAAGCAUAUCAAUAAGCGGAGGA